rnacentral:rRNA from 1 species
GUACCCUCCUGCGGGAGGCAGCAGUGGGGAAUUUUGAACAAUGGGCGAAAGCCUGAUCCAGCAAUGCCGCGUGUGUGAAGAAGGCCUUCGGGUUGUAAAGCACUUUUGUCCGGAAAGAAAUCCUUGGCUCUAAUACAGUCGGGGGAUGACGGUACCGGAAGAAUAAGCACAGGCUAACUACGUGCCAGCAGCCGCGGUACUACGUAGGGUGCGAGCGUUAAUCGGAAUUACUGGGCGUAAAGCGUGCGCAGGCGGUUUGCUAAGACCGAUGUGAAAUCCCCGGGCUCAACCUGGGAACUGCAUUGGUGACUGGCAGGCUAGAGUAUGGCAGAGGGGGGUAGAAUUCCACGUGUAGCAGUGAAAUGCGUAGAGAUGUGGAGGAAUACCGAUGGCGAAGGCAGCCCCCUGGGCCAAUACUGACGCUCAGGCACGAAAGCGUGGGGAGCAAACAGGAUUAGAAACCCUAGUAGUCCC